UGUCAGCACAGAGCCCGACGCAGGGCUUGAACCCACAAGACCAAGAGAUCAUGACCUGAGCUGAAGUUGGACGCCCAACCGACUGAGCCACCCAGGAGCCCCCCCUUUUCUUUUUUAAAUUGGGUCGUGUUCAAACGUCCUAUGCUUGAUACAAGAUGAAGGUAGAUGAAGAGAUAAUGAAGGAAACAUUAAAUGGGCCUUCCAAGAACAUAUUUCUUUUUAAACAAUUCCUAAAGAGAUAGUCAAAAGCAGUGUAAUGUACUGUCCUAAUCUAUUCCACACAGCUAGUGUGAGGUAUAUAGAAGCGUAUUGCUGACAUUUCAACAUCCAGCAGUAGAGGGCAGCACUGCCUUUCUUUUGCAAAAGGCUGAGUGCUCAUAAGAAGGAAAAUAAAAGACACUCUUGACUACAGUGUCUGUGUGUUUACUUUUACCUAAUACUUUAGAGGAAAAAAAAAUUAGAGUCUUUUUCUUAUUGUUUAGGUGAUUAGGUAGAAAGAACGUCAGAGCCUGUAUUGCCUUGAAGUAACUGGUGAAAAACAUAGAGUAUGCUCAGGAUAUGGGUUCUGCCUAGGAAAGAUAAACAGUAGCUUGACCCUGUGCAAUCAGAUAGGGUUAUUGUAUGAACAGACCUAAUUCUCCUGCACUUUCUGGAUAGAAAUCAAUCUGAACUAGCAGGAUGUGGUUUUAAAAAUGUGUGUAACUCAUAUGGGCUUAGCCCUGAUAACUGCUUUUGAAUCCUAAUUCACUGACUUUAUUCUGCUGUCUGAGUUAGCUUUCCUCUCUGUCACACUUGGAUCAGAUCAGACCUACCUCAGUUAUACCACUUGUAUUAUGACCUUAAAGAAUGAUGUCAGACAUGAUGGUAAGGAAUGUCUUUCAUGAGACUGUAGCUGUCUAAGGGACUAUGUAUAUCUGGCGGGGAAACUGAAAGCUUGUAUCUGGUCCUCAUUCUAUUGGACUGUGAUUUGAGUUUCUCUAUCCUGCAUUGCACUAGGUGUUAAGGAUAACAUGGUGAACAAAAAGGCUAAGUCCUUGUCCUCAUGGCUUCUCUAAUCUGAUGGAGAAGACACAUAAUAACACUGCAUAAAUGAAAUUAUGAACAUCACAGCCUUGGAAUCCAUUCUACCAGAAUAUGUAUACAAAGAUGUAUGUGCACAAAGGCUCAUUGCGGCAUUAUUUGUAAGAGCAAACAUGUUGGAGACAAUUUUAGUGUCCGCCAAUUAGUGAAUGAUCACAUAAGCAGGGCACAUCCAUAUAAUGCAAUACUGUGCCAACGAAUAAAGCAAAUGAGGAAGACUUAUAUCUACUGCCAUGAGAAUAUCUCCAAGAUACCAUCCAAUCCAAUGAUAUACUUGGCAUUGACACUAACAACCUCUCUAGUUCCUUGGAUAACUCACCCAUGUAAUUGCAAAAAGCAUGCCGAUUAAGCCUUUGUAGGAGGGAUGUGCAUCCUGUCUAGGGAAAAAUUCUCAAGAGUCGGCUGGGAUAGCUCUUCCUCUUUGAAAUGGUGAGUAGGCACUGGAAGUGUAUAAUGAGAGAAAUUACUUAUGAAUCUGUCCCUCUCAGCCCCAGGCCACUUUCUCUGAGAAAGACUCAAGGAUCUUACCCUAAUAGCAUUGGAAUAAAGUCAGUGCAGAGGCCGACCGACACAGAGCAAGGCUUCCAGCCCACAGGGGGGCCCUGCUGACAGCUCGUUAGAAACUGUCUCUCUCCUGAACCCCCUUUCAUUUCUUCAAGUUACAAAUCCUGACAGACUUUGAUGGGAAAAGCAAGGCGGUAAGAUCCCCUGUGGCAAGCAAGUCCCUGCUCAUCUAUCUGUGUUUGACAGAUAAGGAGAGUAGAUGUCAUCUACAAAACGUUUUGCUCACCUGAGCCAAGUGAGCCAGGACGGCCGUGCCGCCCUUUGCAGGGCCCUCCCUCAAGAGUGAUCCAGACAAGACCCACCGACCACAACUGAGAUUUCUCUCAAAAGAAAAUCAUUGUAACCAGACAGCUCCUGGAAACUGAAUGCCCACUCUAGUCCUCAGAAAAGUGCAUAACACUUAAUAACUCCAAGGAAGUUAUGCUUUGAUUAGCAAAAACCUUUUCCGAGUUACACCCUCCUCUUGGUCUUUGAGGGCUGGUGACCAGUUAAGAUCUGAGAAGUCUGUCUGAGAUUCUGAGCAGAGUGUCUGGGCCUCCAACUUUGCCAAAUUACUGGGAAAGGGAGUGUGAUAAAAGGAAACGAAACGCCACUGUGCUCCAGACUUCAGAGACUGAACACGCUGGUAUCUCAAGGUCUCUUCAACCGUCUGUCAGUGGCUCUCCCACUUUAACACGCCUUGGAAAAAUCUGUGACGUUCAUUUAAAAUGCAGAUCUUGAUUCAGUAGGUCUGGAGUGAGUGGGUCCAAGGAAUCUGCAUUUUAACAAACUCUCUAGGUGAUUCUGGAUGCAGGUGAUCCUGGGGCCCCACUUUGAGAAGCACUGCUGCUCCCUGUUGCUACCUGCACCAGCACCUCCAGCAAGGGCUCCUAAGGGUGUUCCCAGCACUUUUUGCGGGGGAGUUCCUCUCCCCCUUGGCCAACAGUCCCAGAGCCGGUUCUCAGCAGCCAUUUCAAUUGGAAGUGGAGCCAGCUGUCUCCAGGAUUCUUCUUCAG